GGCCUCCCUCUCCCGCAAGUGCACCGCUGCCUCUGCCCUCGAUGGAGGUUGAAUCUCCGUAGAGAAGGAAGCAAAAGCUGUUCGAGAUCCAGUCCGGCGUGGAGGAAGCUGAAUCGCUGGUAAAUAGAUGCAUCAACGCAUUUUGUUCCAUAUGCACAUAUAGAUUCGUCUGCAAUUGAGAUCGAGUACACAUGCUGGAUGGAGGAUUUGAGCUAGCAGAUGUGUAGAGCAAGGAGAAGAAUGUUGUAAGGCCAUCAGGGAGGUUGCCAAGUGAAACGACAUGGGAUCUGCAAAGGUUGCUGGCUGGAGAGGGAUCGCAGGCCUGCCAAAUAGUUGCAGAUAGCUAGGCAUCUCUUUCUGAAUUGUGUGCACUAGGAUAGCAGUAGCAGUAGCAACGGGUAACUGUCAGCUCAUCAAUCAUGCCUGUAUUUUGUGCAGCAAGUUGGAUACUAGGACUGCUUGCCGGAGAUUGCACGUGCUGGCGGUGUUGCUCGCUUGCUGGAGAUCACCCGUUAUGAAGCCUGGAGUUGCUUGCUUGCUGGAGAUCGCGUGCACAAGAGGAGCUGCUUGCUGGAGAGCGACAGACCACCUGUGGCAUGGCCGGCCAGCCGCAAGCAGUGAUCGAUGUAUAAAACUCUUGUUAGAGUGAUGGUUCAUGUCUCUCUGAGACAUCCAUUUGCAUACCUGUGAUGUUAUUCUUUCUAAGCCUUGUGGUGUGAUGAUGUGUUCCAAAGAAAUCAUGCUUGUGCUGCUCAAGAGAAUUAUUUUUUUUCCGCUUAUAAUAUGACGGCAUCUGUUUACGGCUAA